GACGUAGGGGGCAAGCGUUGUCCGGAAUUACUGGGCGUAAAGGGCGUGUAGGCGGUUUCUUAAGUCAGGCGUAAAAACUCAGGGCUCAACCUUGAGGUGGCGUUUGAAACUGGGGGACUUGAGGGCAGUAGAGGAAAGCGGAAUUCCCGGUGUAGCAGUGAAAUGCGUAGAUAUCGGGAGGAACACCAGUGGCGAAGGCGGCUUUCUGGGCUGUACCUGACGCUGAGGCGCGAAAGCUAGGGGAGCGAACGGG
rnacentral:rRNA from 1 species